rnacentral:lncRNA from 10 species
AGACUCUCUGCUUACUAUGGUGUACAACAUGACUAGAUAUAACUUGAAGUAGGAAAUAGAAUAAUUUUCAGCCUUGAGCAUCAAGUGUCCUUGAAAUUGAUCCAAGUAAUGUCUUGUUUUGAUCCAUUUCAGAGCCUUCCGGGGAACAGAGCUACACCAUAUACUUUGUUCACAAAAGAGUGGAGAUUAGGAUUGAGGAAGGAGCUGACUUCUGAAAGUGGGAGCAAAAUUAUCUUGGUCAACUGCUGAGCUCCCAAAGAGGAUAACCACAUUCUGGGAGGACUCUAGGCUUAGUAUUUAAGCAUAGUGGGCUUAUAGAAGAAAAUCUUCAGAAUGGCAAGUAGAGGUGGGGAAAUUCUUCUUUGUCUUACUCAGUUUCCCUACCCACUCCUGCCCUAAAGAAGUAGGAUUAUUGAUUGGUGAAUUUGGAAAGAAAACUGGCAUUCCUCUUCCAGUCUCCUCCUCUCUCCUUGGGGAGUUAGCCUGCCCUCCCAUACUGCACAUGUUCUGCUUACUUUUGUGCCACAGCACAAAAGAGAGGUGGCCUGUGGCUUUCCAGCUCUCCCUAUGAUUUAGUGGUAGUCUGCCUAUUUUCAAGGUUCAUUAUUAUUGCAUAAAGAGGGGAGCUGCAUUCCCCAGCAUCAGCUUUAUUAGCAAUAAAGGAAAUGAGAUGGUUCUCCACCUGCCAUACUCUUUGGUCUUACAUAAAAAUUGGUUCGAAACUCAGAUGAGGAGUGCUAGUACUAUUUAUAUGUUUCCCUCAAAUUUCUAAGAGGGUGCUUUCAGAAGAAAAGGUGAUCCCAGAUUAGGGUUUGAAGGACAAAUAGAGUGUGUAUGGUGUAAGUGAAAAACAUGAUUGCGGAAGGAGGAAAGAGCAUGUGCAAAAGCAGAGAUACUUUAAAGAGUGUUGUGUGAUCUGGAUGGCUCAGUGAUGUAUAAGUAAAAUGCAAGGUGAGGAGUGGUAGCAAAGAGGCUAGAGACUAUAGAGCUAGUACAAGGCCAAUUUAUAAAGGGCUCAGACUUUAUCCUGUAGAUGAUGGUAAGCAAUGCAGGAAGGGAGAGGAUGGAAGAAGAGUCUUAAGCGUGGGAAGUAAUUCAAGGUAAACAAGUGAAAAUAGGUAUAGAUUAGCCUUCUAAGCAGCUUGACUAUUAAGGGAAUCCAAGGGCUUAU